CGCGGCCUAUCAGCUUGUUGGUGAGGUAGUGGCUUACCAAGGCGACGACGGGUAGCCGGCCUGAGAGGGCGACCGGCCACACUGGGACUGAGACACGGCCCAGACUCCUACGGGAGGCAGCAGUGGGGAAUAUUGCACAAUGGGCGCAAGCCUGAUGCAGCGACGCCGCGUGAGGGAUGACGGCCUUCGGGUUGUAAACCCCUUUCAGCAGGGGAGAAGCCUUUCGGGGUGACGGUACCUGCAGAAGAAGCACCGGCUAACUACGUGCCAGCAGCCGCGGUAAUACGUAGGGUGCGAGCGUUGUCCGGAAUUAUUGGGCGUAAAGAGCUUGUAGGCGGUUUGUCGCGUCUGCUGUGAAAAUCCGGGGCUCAACCCCGGACUUGCAGUGGGUACGGGCAGACUAGAGUGUGGUAGGGGAGACUGGAAUUCCUGGUGUAGCGGUGGAAUGCGCAGAUAUCAGGAGGAACACCGAUGGCGAAGGCAGGUCUCUGGGCCAUUACUGACGCUGAGAAGCGAAAGCAUGGGGAGCAAACAGGAUUAGAUACCCUGGUAGUCCAUGCCGUAAACGUUGGGAACUAGGUGUGGGUCUCAUUCCACGAGAUCCGUGCCGCAGCUAACGCAUUAAGUUCCCCGCCUG
rnacentral:rRNA from 1 species